rnacentral:lncRNA from 1 species
GCGUGUGAGAUGAUCCCAUUUGCUGUCACAAAUGUAUCUGAGAUGGAUCAUCUUUUAAUGAAUACCAAUUGGGGGCAAGUGAUGAGCUUGUCUAACUUGCUGGCAAGCUGAAGUGAUAGGACCUUAGAAAUUAUUUUAACAAUGCCGUUCGUUAGACUGAUCGGCCUAUAAUCUUUGAUAGUACAUUUGGUCUCCUUCUUUGGUAUAAGAGU